CGGCAGCAGUGGGAGGAGACGUGGCAGAGGUGGGCGGCGCGGCCAUUCUUUCCGCCAGGGACCAGCCUACAGGGUGGACGCCCCACACCUCGCUCCUGCACCAUGGCGCCUCCUGAGGGCCGCACGUGGCUCCUCUCUCCUCUCCGUCAUGUUCCACCACCAUCGUCCUCACCGCUACAGUCUCGGAUUAUCCAUGUUGCUUCUUGGAUGGUGAAUUUAUGGCACCAAGGAAAUCAUUUUGAGGCAUGAUAGAUAUGAAAAGUUCAUCCUAGGUCAUGGAUGAAUUUGUUCUCCAUUUGGGUCAUCACAGAUUACCGAGCGAAAUGGAAGACUAGCCAGAUGCCUGGAUUACUGCUGAAGUUGUCAUUUGUGCAUGGUUGGUGCUGUGGCUUCAUUUGGCAGAGAUGAAGCAUUUCUACAAACAAGAGAUUGCAUUGCUUUUGAAUGAAUGUAUGUUGGAUGCUGUGGCUUCAUGUGUGGCAGACGUGAAGCAUUUCUUCUACACUUGGGUGCAUUGCUUUUGUUUGCUGUAUGCUGAUCAAUCCAGAUAACCAUGAUGUAUGAAUGAUGAGAUUCCAUUGAACUGCAAUUCAACAUUGAAGUUUGGGUGUCCAUGAGAGAUUAAAAUGGCAUGGCAGCAGCAGCAAGAGUUUUGUGGCUUGGUUUGGCAGAAUUGAAGCAUUUCUCAACAAGAUGGCAAUGCUUUUGUGCAUGGCAGCAGCAGGAGUUUUGAGGCUUGGUUUGGCAGAAUUUAAAAAAUUUCUCAAGAUGGCAUUGCUUUUGGGCAUGGCAGCAGCAGCAAGAGUUUUGUGGCUUGGUUUGGCAGCAGCUCUUGCGUGGUUGGUUUGAUCCCCAAUGGCCCAGGUGGUUCGACAUUUCUUCAUUCCAUCCCGAUUAUUACUUUAACCUUUCAGUGUGACUUCAAGGUUUAAUAAAGUACUGCAUAAUA
rnacentral:lncRNA from 1 species